rfam:Oryza glumipatula chromosome 8, whole genome shotgun sequence.
CCCAAAAACAAACCCUGGUUUCCGUGCCUAACGUUUGACCGUCUAUUUUAUUUAAAAAAAUUAUAAAAAAAAUUAAAAAGACAAGUCACGCACAAAGUAUUAAUCAUGUUUUAUCAUCUAACAACAAUAAAAAUACGAAUUAUAAAAAAAUUCAUAUAAGACGGACAGUCAAAGUUGGAUAAAAAACCACAGGAUUUGCUUUUU